rnacentral:sRNA from 1 species
AUAUACACUUCAGCAGGAACCAUGCCAUUUUAAUGCAGAUGAAGGAGUUAUAGACUGUUGCUUGCUGUGGGUCCCUAACAACUGUUGUGUUCUCAAACACUCCAGAAUAAAUCAGGGUAAAGUGGUCAAGUUAUAUACUAUCAAUAUAUAGGUUUGCAAAGCGUCUAGUUGUUGUAGAGUUCAAAGCAAUUUUUUGCCUAUUCUGUGAGGCAAAAAAUGAUAAGGUGUGAUCCCUGUACACUUGUAGAAGAACGAUCCUCCAGGUACUCUGCUUUUCCCAGAAGCCAUAAGCAGCCUGUGAUGGGAGCUCCACUGAUCAAGUUAAUGAAGGCGAGUUCUCUUCCCUUCUAUCACAGGUGCUGCGACAAGAGACUUUGGACAAAAAUUGACUUGAGUAGGUGUAAGGCCAUUGUGCCCCAGGCCCUCAGUGGCAUCAUCAAGAGGCAGCCAGUCAGCCUUGACCUCAGUUGGACCAACAUCUCUAAAAAGCAACUGACAUGGCUUGUCAAUAGGCUGCCAGGACUGAAAGACCUCCUCCUAGCAGGCUGCUCCUGGUCUGCAGUCUCUGCCCUCAGCACCUCCAGCUGCCCCCUUCUCAGGACCCUUGAUCUUCGGUGGGCAGUAGGAAUCAAGGACCCUCAAAUUCGGGACUUGCUUACUCCACCGGCUGAUAAACCAGGUCAGGACAAUCGCAGCAAGCUCCGGAACAUGACCGACUUCCGGCUGGCAGGCCUUGACAUCACAGAUGCCACGCUUCGCCUCAUCAUUCGCCACAUGCCCCUCCUGUCUCGACUCGACCUCAGUCACUGCAGCCACCUUACAGAUCAGUCCUCCAAUCUACUCACUGCUGUCGGGUCUUCCACUCGCUACUCUCUCACAGAGCUCAAUAUGGCAGGUUGCAAUAAAUUGACAGACCAGACCCUGAUCUACCUACGGCGCAUUGCCAACGUCACCUUGAUCGACCUUCGAGGAUGCAAGCAGAUCACUCGAAAAGCCUGCGAGCACUUCAUCUCAGACUUGUCCAUCAACAGCCUCUACUGCCUGUCUGACGAGAAGCUGAUACAGAAGAUCAGCUAAGACACACCCAGCCCAGACUCAACAGGAAACCGAUCUUCCCCUGACUCCCCACCGAGGAGAGCCUCUCCUCGACCCUGCACGGGCUCUGAGGCCAGCGUCACACUCCCUCUCUGCUCUCCUGUCCCUUGAGCUCUUCCUCUACAGGUGGGGCAGAGAGGGUGGUGGACACCAGGCUUACCUGCCUGCUCCUCUCCCUCCUAAGGAAAAGGGAGUAGCAGAUUGAUCUGAGGGGAAAGCACAGGCUGUGCUGUCAAGGCGCCUGCUCGCUUACUCGCCUGCCAGGAGGCCGGGCUCUCAGUUUGGGGUGUUUGUGCAACCUUCAUCUGCACUGGGCCCUGUGCCCCUCCUCCCCAUCCAUGGUCCCCAGCAGUGCCUGGUUCUGAGCAAACUCCCAGGGAAGAAAACGGCCCUGUCUCCAUGGCCAGGUUCUUGUGGUGUCUAGUGCGCGUCUCUCCUCCAUCACACUCUCCCGGCUUGCGCAGGAGGGGCCGGCAGCCCCAGGAGUCCCAGACCCGUGCCGAUCACACUGGUGCUGUUGAGAUGUCCCAAACCUCACGUCCUUAACUGUGCUCUCCCUCCUUUCCUCUCCCUUGAGCUUGGUUCUGCCCAGCACUCGUGCUCGUUCAUAUAAUUAGGUUUCCCACCCCAGCCUACCCGACUUACUUGCUAGUCUCUAUGAGGUCCUUAUUGCACUUAUUGGGGUUGAAGCUCUUCAGAGGAGCUGGAACUGUCUACCCCAGGGACACACCCAUUUCGUUGCUACCCAAGUGGAUUCUGAGACAGGCACCAUCUCCUUGUUCCCCCCUCUCUCUUUUGCCUCCCACUGACUGCCCUUUUCCAUGUGUCUUCAUUCUGCCUGAAGAAGGCUUUCCCAGGAUGCACGUCCUCAGAGGGAGCAGCCUAUCUCCCCCAAGCUGGAGGCGGCAGAGGACUGGGCCAAGCCCCAACCUGCCUGUGUCUAGCCCCAGUGGCUCACUGACCUUUCAGGACAGUCAGGGGGUCCUGCUUAGAAGCCAGUCACCUGCCCUCUGCCUGCAGCCAUGGAAGGGGGUGUGCAUGUGCCUCUGUGUGUGUGGCUGAGUGUAUUCCGCGCGUGUGUGUGGAGGGAGGGAGCGAGGGGAGCAUGGUGUCUCCCGCUCCACCGCCCUUUGUCGAGCCCCAUCAGCUGCCCCCUUUUACUUUGCAUUGAACGGCCUGUCCAAAGAUCCUCUCUCUAGGGCAGCAGAGAGCUUUUUGCACUUUAAAAAAAAAGAAAGAAAGGUCGGAAUUUCUUUUAGGUCAAUAUUUUUAAGUGUGUGAGGAGAUGCUCGGUAGCAGCAGCCUAUGGCAAGAGCUUAUGAUUGAUGCAAAUUUGCACUCUGCUCCCCCUCUGUAAGGAUACUGAUAGCACAACCUCUUCUUCCCCCCACCCCUGCCCUGCCUUCUGGUCCUCCAUCCCUGUCCCUUUCUGGCCCUCUCCCUGUAGCCCAGUCUCAGGCUUUCCUCUUCCUGAAGCCCUACAGAGGUAGGGAAUGGAGCCCAGGCACCAGGGGUCUGAAGUGUGAGCCACUGAGAAGAGAGACGCCAACUGCACCCUUGCCACUUCCAAAGCAAUAGAGGCAGAGUGGUCCCCUCUUUGCCACCUAGGCCAGUUUUGACCCUGGCAUUAACUGGCCUUAGAAGAAACUGGGUCCUGGUAGGGGGUGGCAUUUUGUCUGUUUCUUCCAAUCUGCUGAAUCUUUUGACUGCACCUUACAAACAGCAGUCUGUUCCCAUGACCCUCUGCCCACUUCCAUUGGUCUCCAGGCCCCAAUAAUCUGGGGUUGAAACUUUGAGGAAAUGCCAGUGACUUAUUCCAGAGUGCCUCAGUUAGGGGAACUUCUCUGUAAAGAACCCUGGGUAUUGAGCAAAAACCUUAUUAUUGUUAAUGACCUAUAAUUGGAAGCUUCCUGCCUUUUUCUUUGGUUGCUCCUGUGGAAAAUACUGAAAAGAUUACUUUGUUUUAUUUUGUUGUCUUUUUAUAAAAGGGGAGGUGGAGAGACCCCUUCAGAGCAGGGAUUGUGCCGGGAGAGUGCCUCUGACUUUGGGACAUUUCAUCCACAGAAAUUUCCAAGCCAAUGGUUUCUUUUGGGUUUUGGUUUUUAUGUUUGUUUUUUGGGGUUUGGAAAAACAUGCAUUUUUACCGUGCACGUAAAUUGGUCAGCAGAAAAGGGAGCCCAGAAGAGGCAGCAGAUGGACCAUGCCUUUGCUGGGUUUUCCUUUUCUUUGGGACUGUGAGGGGAAAUGGUUUUUAGAGGUGAGGGUUGGUCCAUGUGGAGGAAAGAAGUGUCUCUGUUGGGGGACAGAGGAACCUGGGGAGUCCAUCGCAUGUCCUACAAUCUGCUCUUAGACACGGCCUUGCCAGGAGAGCCUGCCCUCAGACUGCAGGACCAGAACCCCUGCCUCCAUCUUUCCAAGCACCGGGGCGAAAAACCACAAAGGAAAGGAAGAAAAUUUAUAUAUAUAUAAUAUAAAAUCACUUGGUGAUUAAAAAAAUAACUGCUCCAUAAAUAAAACUCCUAAAGUCACUUAUGUUU